rnacentral:rRNA from 1 species
AGAUUGAACGCUAGCGGGAUGCUUUACACAUGCAAGUCGAACGGCAGCGCGGACUUCGGUCUGGCGGCGAGUGGCGAACGGGUGAGUAAUAUAUCGGAACGUGCCCAGUAGCGGGGGAUAACUACGCGAAAGCGUGGCUAAUACCGCAUACGCCCUACGGGGGAAAGGGGGGGAUCGCAAGACCUCUCACUAUUGGAGCGGCCGAUAUCAGAUUAGCUAGUUGGUGAGGUAAAGGCUCACCAAGGCGACGAUCUGUAGCUGGUUUGAGAGGACGACCAGCCACACUGGGACUGAGACACGGCCCAGACUCCGUACGGGAGCGGCAGGUGGGGAAUUUGGACAAGUGGGGGAAACCCUGGAUCCAGCCAUCCCGCGUGUGCGAUGAAGGCCGUUCGGGUUGUAAGCUACGUUUGGACUAGGGAACGAACGGCGUCGACCGUAACGUACGGACGU